rnacentral:tRNA from 4 species
GCCCGAUUAGCUCAGCUGGUUAGAGCGUCGUACUAAUAUCUUGUCUUUCCGAGAUAUCAAGUCCAUGCGAAGGUCAACAGUUCAAUCCUGUUAUUGGGCA